rnacentral:rRNA from 1 species
AAGGAAAGGUGAAAAGGACCCCGGGAGGGGAGUGAAAGAGAACCUGAAACCCUGUGUCUACAAGCUGUGGAAGCACUUUAUAUGUGCGACCGCGUACUUUUUGUAGAACGGUCCGGCGAGUUACGCUUACUGGCAAGGUUAAGCACUUCAGGUGCGGAGCCGUAGGGAAACCAAGUCUUAAGAGGGCCUUAAGUCAGUAGGAGUAGACCCGAAACCGGGUGAUCUAUCCAUGUCCAGGUUGAAGCUGCCGUAAGAGGUAGUGGAGGACCGAACCCACAUCCGUUGAAAAGGGUGGGGAUGAGGUGUGGAUAGGGGAGAAAUUCCAAUCGAACCCGGAGAUAGCUGGUUCUCCUCGAAAUAGCUUUAGGGCUAGCCUCGUAUUAGUCUGGUGGAGGUAGAGCACUGAAUUUCCUAGGGGGCGUCAAAGCCUACCGAAGAAUAUCAAACUCCGAAUGCCAUACAGAUGAUGUACGGGAGUCAGACGGCACGAGAUAAGUUGGGUCGUCAAAAGGGAAAGAGCCCAGACCUGCAGCUAAGGUCCCAAAGUGUGUGUUAAGUGGAAAAGGAUGUGGGAUUUCAAAGACAACUAGGAUGUUGGCUCAGAAGCAGCCACACAUUCAAAGAGUGCGUAAUAGCUCACUAGUCGAGAGGUCCUGCGCCGAAAAUGUCCGGGGCUGAAACACAACACCGAAGCUCAGGAAUGUAUUUAUACAUUGGUAGAGGAGCAUUCUUAAAGGGGCGAAGCAGUACCGAUAAGGAGCUGUGGACUUUUAAGAAGAGAGAAUGCCGGAAUGAGUAGCGAGAUGGAGGUGGGAAUCCUCCAGGCCGAAUAUCCAAGGUUUCCAGAGUAAAGCUGAUCUGCUCUGGGUAAGUCGGGGCCUAAGGCGAGGACGAGAGUCGUAGCCGAUGGACAACAGGUGGAGAUUCCUGUACUGCGGUAUGACAGAACUGUGGGGACACGUAAGGAAAGCGGAAGCCGGGAAUGGAAAGCCCGGUGCAAGCGGGGUACCAGUCACUCUGGCAAAUCCGGGUGGCAAUGGGAAGCCGUGAUGCGGAGCGAAAUAAAGUAGCGAAGUCCGUGAGCCAUGCGUCAAGAAAAGCCGCUAUUGUUUAUACCGUACCCGUACCGUAAACCGACACAGGUGGAUGAGGAGAGAAUCCUAAGGCCGGCGGGAGAAGCAUUGUUAAGGAACUCGGCAAAAUGACCCCGUAACUUCGGGAGAAGGGGUGCCUGCGAGAGCAGGCCGCAGAGAAUAGGCUCAAGCAACUGUUUAGCAAAAACACAGGUCUAUGCGAAACCGAAAGGUGAGGUAUAUGGGCUGACGCCUGCCCGGUGCUGGAAGGUUAAGAGGAGAGGUUAGCGCAAGCGAAGCUUUGAAUUUAAGCCCCAGUAAACGGCGGCCGUAACUAUAACGGUCCUAAGGUAGCGAAAUUCCUUGUCGGGUAAGUUCCGACCCGCACGAAAGGCGUAAUGAUUUGAGCGCUGUCUCGACAAUGCACCCGGUGAAAUUGAAAUACCAGUGAAGAUGCUGGUUACCUGCGCCAGGACGGAAAGACCCCAUGGAGCUUUACUCCAGCUUGAUACUGGGAUUCGGUAUUGCAUGUACAGGAUAGGUGGGAGGCUAGGAGAUGGUAACGCCAGUUGCCAUGGAGCCGCUGUUGGGAUACCACCCUUGCAGUAUUGGGUUUCUAACCAGCCGCCGUGACCCGGCGGUGGGACAAUGCCAGACGGGGAGUUUGACUGGGGCGGUCGCCUCCGAAAGGGUAUCGGAGGCGCCCAAAGGUUCCCUCAGAAUGGACGGAAACCAUUCGAAGAGUGCAAAGGCAGAAGGGAGCUUGACUGCGACACCGACGGGUGGAGCAGGUACGAAAGUAGGACUUAGUGAUCCGGUGGUAUAAAGUGGGAUUGCCAUCGCUCAACGGAUAAAAGCUACCCUGGGGAUAACAGGCUUAUCACUCCCAAGAGUUCACAUCGACGGAGUGGUUUGGCACCUCGAUGUCGGCUCAUCGCAUCCUGGGGCUGAAGUAGGUCCCAAGGGUUGGGCUGUUCGCCCAUUAAAGCGGUACGCGAGCUGGGUUCAGAACGUCGUGAGACAGUUCGGUCCCUAUCCGGCGUGGGCGUAGGAUAUUUGAGAGGAGCUGACCUUAGUACGAGAGGACCGGGUUGGACUGGCCGCUGGUGAAUCUGUUGUUCUACCAAGAGCAUGGCAGAGUAGCCAAGCCGGGAAGGGAUAAACGCUGAAGGCAUCUAAGCGUGAAGCCCCCCUCAAGAUGAGAUAUCCCAACGCAAGUUGUAAGACCCCUUGAAGACGACGAGGUAGAUAGGGCAGAGGUGGAAGUGCAGUAAUGUACGGAGCUGACUGUUACUAAUCGGUCGAGGGCUUAUCCA